rnacentral:rRNA from 1 species
UAAACUGGGAUUAGAUACCCCACUAUGCCUAGCCGUAAACUUUGAUGAAAACAUACAACUGACAUCCGCCAGGGAACUACAAGCGCCAGCUUAAAACCCAAAGGACUUGGCGGUGCCUCAGACCCACCUAGAGGAGCCUGUUCUAGAACCGAUAACCCCCGUUCAACCUCACCACCUCUUGUUUCCCCCGCCUAUAUACCACCGUCGUCAGCUUACCCUGUGAAGGCCUUAUAGUAAGCAAAAUGGGCAAAACCCAAAACGUCAGGUCGAGGUGUAGCGCAUGGGGUGGGAAGAAAUGGGCUACAUUCUCUAAAUUAGAGCACUACGAACCACGCUGUGAAACCAGCGUCCAAAGGUGGAUUUAGCAGUAAAUAGAAAAUAGAGAGUUCUCUUGAAACUGGCUCUGAGGCGCGCACACACCGCCCGCCCGUCACCCUCA